rnacentral:lncRNA from 1 species
AUUCUUUUCAGCAUACCAUUAGGAACCAAAAUAAACGAAAAUUACAAAAUUAAAAAACUUGCUUACCUCAAAUCUACACUCUCUCUUUAAUCCAAGUUGCUGCAGGUGAAAUGAUGGAAAACAAGCUGCAGCCCCCUUAAAAAGGGGUCUCCAUGCAGCCAAACAUGAGGUGGCAUUCCACUAACUCCAAUGUCCAUAUUUUGCACUUUAGUCCUUCAAGUUAUCAAAAAUAAAACCCAUAAUUGCCCAUUAGUCCUUUAGGUUUUCAUAACCCUAAUCAGCCCCUAAGAACCUAAUAAGCAUGCUUGAAGUUAAGUACUAAGAUAAUCAUGAUUGCCUAUUUAAUUCAUUAGUACUAGGUGUUACAUAUAGAACCUAGGAUAGCGUCUCCAUAAUUAGAAACAAAAUGAACAAAGAAUAAAAUGAUAUAGAACAUAUGAUGGUUUCCCAAGGAUGGUGUCUUACUGAUGAGAAAUGAAAGGAAUAAAUGAUGCAAAGGCAAAGAAAGAAAGAAUACUCUAAAAUAGAACCUAAGAUGUUGUCCCAAUGCUGAGAAACCAAUCUAACAAAUGAUUAAGCAUAGACAAAGUUUAUAUAGAACCUAGGAUGGCAUCCCAAAGAUGAGAAACAAAAUGAACAAAGAAUAAACUAACAUGGAAGCUAGGAUUCCAAUUGAUGAGAAACAUAACUUACAAUUGAUUAAGCUUAGAUAGAACCUAUGAUAGUGUUCCAACGGUGAGAAACAAAAUGAAUAAAGAAAUGAUUAAGGUUAGAACAUAGGAUAACAUCCUAAGGAUGAGAAACCAAUGGAAUAAAACAUAAAUAGAGACAAAACCAAGGAUGUUGUCCCAAUGAUGAGAAAACAGAAGGAACAAAGAGUAAACCUUGGAUAGUGUCCCAAUGAUGAGAAGUCACAGGAACAAACGAUAAAGUUUAGAUAAAACCUAGGAUACACUCACAACGAUGAGAAACGAAAUAAACAUAGAUUAAGAUGAGAUAGAACCUAUGAUGGUGUCCCAAUGAUGAGAAGUCACAAGAACAAUCGAUAAAGUUUAGAUAAAACCUAGGAUAGACUCACAACGAUGAGAAACAAAAGAAACACAAAUUAAGAUGAGAUAGAAACUAUGAUGGUGUCCCAAUGAUGAAAAAGAAAAGUAACAAAGAAGAAACAUAGAAAGAACAUUAGAUCGUUUCCCAAUGAUAAGAAACCAAAUGAACAAAGAAUUAAUUUAGAUAGAACUUAGGAUUGUGUCCACAUGACGAGAAACCAAAGGAUCAAAGAAGAAACUUAUAUUGAACCUAGGAUUGUAUCCACAUGAUUAGAAACCAAAGGAACAAACGAUUAAGCUCAGAUAGAAUCUAGGAUGGUGUUCCAACGAUUAGAAAAAAAGGAACAAAAAAUAAAUUGAGAUAGAACUAAGGUUGAAUUUAGGAUGGUGUCCAAAUGAUAAGAAACCGAAGGAACUAUGAAGAAACGUAGAUAGAGCCCGCAUAUGGUGUCCCAAUCAUGAGAAAACUAAUGAACGAAUUAUUAAACUUAUAUAGAACAUAGGAUGUUGACCCAAUGAAGAGAAAUCAAAUCAACAAAGAAUAAAUUGAGAUAGAACCUACGUUGGUGUCCAAAAGAUGAGAAACCAAAGGCAUAAAGAAAAAAUUUAGAUAGAAACCUAGGAUAGUGUCCUAAUGAUAAGAAACCAAACGAACAAACAAUUAACCUUAGAUAGAACAUAGGAUGACAUACCAAUGAUGAGAAACCAAACGAACAAACAAUAAAAUGAGAUAGAACCUAGGAUGGUGUCCUAAUGAUGAGGAACAAAUGAUUAAGUAUAGAUAGAUGCUAGGAUAGUGUUUCAAUGAUGAGAAAUCAAAGGAAUAGAGAAUAAACUAAGUUAGAACCUAGGAUGGUGUCCAAUUGAUGACAGACCAAAUAACCAAAGAAUAAAUUGAUAUAGAACCUAGGACAAAUAAUUGAACAAAUAAUUUAGUUUAGAAAGAACCUAGAAUGGUGUACCUAUGAUGAGAAAGCAAUUGAACAAAGAAUAAAUUGAGAUAGAACGUAGGAUGGUCUCCAAAGGAUGGGAAACCAAAGCAACAAAGACGACAGUUAGAUUGAACUUAGGUUUGCAUCCCAAUGAUGAUGAGAAAUCGAAGGAACCAAAGAAUAAACUAAGAUCAAACCUAUGAUGGUGCCUCAAGGAUGAGAAACAAAAGUAACCAAGAAGAAACUCAAAUAGAAUAGGAUGGUGUCCGAAUGAUGAAAAACCGAAAAAAAAACAAAGAAUAAAUUAAGAUUGAACCUAGGAUAGCGCCCCAAUGAUGAGAAACCAAAUGAAGAAAGAAUAAACUGAGAUAUAACCAAGGAUAUAGUCUCCCAAUGACAAGAAACCAAAGGAACAAACAAUUAAGUUUACACAAAACCAAGGAUGGUGUCCUAAUGAUGAGAAACUAAAUGAACAAAGAUAACCUAGGAUGGUGUCCAACAGAUGAGAAACUAAAGGAACAAAGAAGAAACUUAGACUAGACUUAGGAUGGUGUCCCAAUGAUGACAAAUCAAAGAAACAAAGAAGAAACUUAGAUUGAACCUACGGAUGUGUCCCAACCAUUAGAAACCAAAGGAAAAAACGAUUAAACUUAGAUAGAACCUAGGAUGGUGUCCCAAUAAUAAGAAACUAAAGGAACAAAUUAUUAAGAUUCGAUAGAACCUAGGAUGACAUCCCAAAUAAUGAGAAACAAAAUAAACUAAGAAUAAAAAGAGAUAGAAGCUUGACCCCCAAUGAUGAGAAACCAUAUGAACAAAGAACAAACUAAUAUAGAACAUAGGAUGUUGUCCCAAUGAUCAGAAACCAAACAAACAAUUUAUUAAGCUUAGAUAGAAUUUAGGAUGAUCUCCCAAUCAUAAGAAACUAAAUGAAACAAAGAAUAUAUACUAAGAUAGAACCUAGGAAGGUGACCCAAUAAUAAGAAACAAAAAGAACAAAGAAUAAACUGAGAUAGAAUGGUGUCCCAAUUAUAGAAACCAAAUGAAUAAAGAAGAAACUUAGAUAGAACCUAGGAUCGGGUCCUAAUGAUGAGAGACCAAACAAACAAAUGAUUAAGCUUAUAUAGAACCUAAGAAUUCAACCCAAUGAUGAGAAACCAAUUGAAUAAUUGAUUAACUUUAUAUAGAACCUAGGAAUUCAACCCAAUAAUGAGGAAACCAAAGAAACAAAUAAGAAAAUUAGAACCUAGGAUUGCAUUCCAAUAAUGAGAAGAAACUAGAUGAACAAAGAAUAAAAUGAGAUAGAAACUUGACGAUGUCCCAAUGAUGAGAAACAAAAUGAACAAAGAAUGAGCUCAAACAGAACCUAAGAUAGUGUCACAUUGAAGCCAAAGCAAACGAAGAAACGAUUAAGGUUAGAUACAACAUAGGAUGGUGUCCUAAGAAUGAAAACCAAAGGAAUAAAGAAUAAACUGAGAUAGAACCUAUGAUGGUGUCCCAAUGACGAGAAACCAAAGUAACAAACGAUUAAGUGUAGAUAGAACCUAUGAUGGGCUCUCAAUAAUGGGAAACCAAAGGAAUCGAUAAACUAAGAUAGAACUUAGCAUGGUGUCCCUAUGACAACAAUGCAAAAGAACAAAGAAUAAAAUUGAAAUAGAACCUAGGAUGCACCCCCAUGAUGAGAAACAAAAGGAACAAAGAAAAAACGUAGAACUUAGGAUGGUGUCCUAGUGAUGAGAAACCAAAGGAACAAACAAUUAAGCUUAAACAAAACGUAGGAUGGUCUCCCAUUGAUGAGAUACCGAAGAAACAAACAAUUAAGCUUAGAUAGAACCUAGGAUAGAAUCCUUUCGAGAAAAAACCAAAGGAAGAAACUUAAAUUCAACCUAGGAUGGAGUUCGAUUGAUGAGAAAUGAAAGGAAAAACGAUUAAGCUUCGAUAAAAUUUAGGAUGGCAUCCUAAUGAUGCGAAAGCGAACAAACAAAGAAUAAAAUAAGAUAGAACCCAGGAUGGUGUCACAUUGAUGCGAAACCAAAGGAACAAAGAAGCAACCGAGAUAGAACCUUGGGAUGUGUCCCAAUGAUAAGAAACUUUGAACUAACGAUGAAGCCUACAUAGAAUGUAGGAUGGCAUCCCAACAAUGAGAAAACAAAUGACCAAAGAAUAAAUUGAGAUGGAACUUUGGAUGGUGUCACAUUGAUGCGAAACCAACGGAAGAAACUAUUAGUGUUAGAUAGAACGUAGUGUCCCUAUAAUAAGAAACCAAAGGAACAAACGAUUAAGCUUAGCUAUAACUUAUGAUGGCAUCCCAAUGAUGAGAAACCAAAGGAUCAGACAAUUAAGUUUAGGUAGAACUUGGGAUGGUGUCCCACAUACGAGAAACCAAAUUAGCAAAGAAUAAAUGGAAAUGAACCUAGGAUGGUGUCCCAAUGAUGAGAAACCAAAGGAACAAACAAUUGAGUUUAGAUUGAACCCAGGAUGACGUCCUAAUGAUGAAAAACCAAAUUAACAAGGAAUAAACUAAGAUAGAAUCUAGGAUUGUGUCCCAAUAAUGAGAAACCAAAUGAACAAAGAAUAAAUUGAGAUAGAACCUAGGGAUAUGUCCCAAUGAUAAGAAACCAAUGCAAUAAACGAUUAAGCUUAGAUAGAACCUAUUCCUACUUGAGAGGAAAUAACCAUAACUGCUUGAACAUUGCAAUAAUAGCUUCACCUUUCAAAAAAAUAUAUUCAAUAGAAAUUGAAGGAUGAACAACAACACUAAAAGACUAUAUAAGCCUUCAACAACAAAAACAUUCCACAAAUCAAAUUCUAAACACCAUCUCCUCUCAAGUUGAUAGGAUAGAAGACAAACUAGAGACACCUCAAAUUGUCAGUCAAAUAGUCACACCACAGUUUCUAGAUUGAAACUUAGACAAAAAUCGUUCGAUUUUCAAACUCGUAGAGGUAGGGAAUAAGAUAGUUAAACUUUCAAAUAAUGAUGACUUAAUCAAAUGUUUAACAAAAAGAAUUGAACAAUUAGAUUUGGUGCAAAAACCUUCAACUUAAAAUACAAAGUCCUAGUUAAACAAAGAAUAAACUGAUAUUGUAAUACCUAGCACUAAUGAAUUAAAUAAGCCCUAUUGAUUUUUGUUUUUCCUUGUCCAUACUUUCACAAUUGAUAAACUAUUCACCCCCACCAAUUUAUAUAUCAGAUAUCAAUGCUCUACAAGAUACACGAUGAAUAUAAUAAUGACUAUUUUGGGACAUCACCCAAGGGCAAGUCAUACCCCGUGUCUUUUGGGACUCAUACGCAAGGGCAGGACCAACCCCAUGUCUUUAGGGACUAAAACCUAGGGGCAGGACCAACCCCAUAGACCCACAUUUGAGUGUCUUCCUCAAGGGCUUUAGGGACUUUCACCCAAGGACCCACGGUCCAACAUAAACAAUAUAUCUAAAGAUAAUGUCUGUAGCAUCGCAUAAAUACUUUCCACCAUUCAAUUCUCUGAAUAUCAUAUGUGAUUAUUCCAUAUCCUUCUGUCAAUGCAACCACACCAUGAACCAUUUCCAUGUCACAUAAACAUGAAUCUUCAUACAAUAUGCCUUCCAAUCUCAAUGUAACAUUUCAACACAAUAAACUGAGAUGCAAUGACACUUUAAAACAUUUUAGGAAAUCAUAGAAAUGACAUGAAAUUUCCAAUAAAUGUUUCAAGAGAAGAAAUCAGAUACACUAUGGGAUAGCAUGAAAUUCCCUACCUUACACGAACUUUCCCUCUAUGAUUGUUCUAAGUAGGCAAUCUUUACCUAAUACAAGGAACUGAAAUGAAACACAUAAUUUAGACUUCCAAAUGAUGAAAAUUUAAACAAUUUACUGUUGCUAUUUUUUUUUAAAAUUCUAAUAUUCUCUAAUCUACAUGCCUACAGGUUUUCAAAUCAAAUUUGAAUUGACUUAAACAAUAUUUACAAUACAUAUUAAUUUUCCGUAAUUAAUUACUAAACACUAAUUGCUUUGAUUUUCUGAAAGCCUAACCUAUUAACAAAUCCCAAGUGUCCAAAUAACCUAAUUAAUCACAUGUUCACUAAUCAAAUUUUCAAUUAAACAAGAUUUAUGCUAAUCUUACCAUUAAUAAAAUACUUAAGCUAAAAUACUUUAAUCCCUAAUUAAUUGUGAUUUUAAUUAAAACAUGUUUAUAGCUCAUUACACUCAUUUUGACAAAUUUUACCAUUAAUUUGUUUCAGCAUACCAUUAGGAACUAAAAUAAACCAAAAUUACUAAAUUAAACAACUUGCUUAAUCUCAAAUCUUCACUUUCUCUCUAAGAUUCUCUCUCUAACGCAAGCUGCUGUAGCUAAAAUGGUGCAAAACGAGCUGCAAGCCCUUAUAUAGCUCUCCAUGGAGCCAAGUAGGAGGUGGCAGCCACCAAUCCACCCAAGUAGGAGGUGGCAUGCCACUUGGCUUCCACAAACUGCAACUUCCCAAUUUUGCACUUUAGUCCUUCAAGUUAUCAAAAAUAAAACCCAUAAUUGCCCAUUAGUCCUCUAGGUUUUCAAAACUAUAAUCAACCCCUAAAAACCUAAUAAGCAUGAUUAAGUCAAUAACUAAUCUCAAUUAACCUUAAUCAAACUUUAAUUCAUAAUUAAACAGGAUUAAUAGUAAAACUAGUUUUAACAUCUAAUUAAGCACAUUUAAAGUUAAGUACUAAGAUAAUCAUUAUUGCCUAUUUAAUUCAUUAGUGCUAGGUAUUACAUUGUUUAUGUGGGACCAUGGGUCCUUGGGUGAAAGUCCCUAGAGCCCUCAAAGAAGACACUCCGAUGUGAGUGUAUGGGGUUGGUCCUGCCCUUGGGUUUUAGUCCCUAAAUAUACGGCAGUCAUUCCCUUAGGUAUGAGUCCAAUAAGACAUGGGGUAUGAUUUACCCUUGGGUGAUAGUCCCAAAAUAAUCAUAUUAUUAUAUUGACCGAGUAUCUUGUGGAGCAUUGAUAUCUGGUGUGUACAUUGCUUGGGGUUAUCAAUUGUGAAAGGAUGGAUGAGGAAAAGCAGAGAUGAAACCAGCAAACGCAUGCAUACAUGUUUGACAUUAUUGCAUAUUUGAUAAGGAUUAUAAAAUGUUUAUCACAAAUGCUAUUAUACAUUUAAUUCAAGGUUUUUAAGGGUAUGUUUAGGAUGGUUAUAAACUUUCCUACUAAAGUUUGAACUCACCCUAUCCCUUCCACCUUUAGAUGCAGGUGAGAAGAUUUAUGCUGGAAAUAAUUCUUGAGCAUUGCUUUUCUGUUGAUUGGAUGUUGUUUGCUCGCAUUGAAAGUGUUUUGAGGCUUUUCCUUUGUAUCAUACAAAGACUCAAUCUUUUUGAAGGAAUGGUGUAAUGUAUAUUUGUCAUGUACACUUGUAGUAUGGGCUACCCAAAGUGAACCAUAUAUAUGUAAAGUAACAUAGUACAAGUUCUUUUUGUGAAAUGGAUCAUAUUUUGUUAACUAAUAGUUAUAUAGUUUAAUACAAGAUGUAUACCUCUUUAUAGCCGGUUUCCAUAUUCCCUUUUUGCACAAAAUCAAGCAGGAACCCAACAUUUAAAUUUUUGUAUCCCCAAAUUUUUUUAAAGCACUUAUGUUGUAUAUCAAUUGUGGUGUCCCAAUGAUAAGAAUCCAAAAAAACAAAUAAUAAAAAUUGAGAUAAAACCUAGGAAGGUGGCCUUAUGACAAGAAACCAAAGGAACAAAGAAUAUAAGCUGAGAUAAAACCUAAGAUGCCAAUGGUGAGAAACCAAAGGAACGAAGAAUAUAUUAAGGUAGAUCCUAGGAAGCUUAUCCGAUGAUGAGAAACCAAAAGAACAAAGAAUAAACUGAGAUAGAACCUAGAAUGUUGUCCCAAUGAUGAGAAACUAUUGGAACAAAGACGAAACUUAGUAUGAACCUAGGAUAGUGUCGCAAAGAUUACAAACCAAAGAAAGAAACGAAUCAUCUUUCAUAGAACCUACAAUGGUGCCCCAUUGAUUAGAAACCAAAGAUAUAAAGAAACAACUGAGAUAGAACCAAGGAUGAUGUACCAAUGAUAAGAAACUAAAGUAAAAAAAUAAGAAACUUAGAACCUAGGAUGGCGUUCCAAUGAUGAGAAACCAAAUGAGCAAAAAGAAUAAACUAAGAGAAAACAUAGGAUGUUGUCCAAAUGAUGAGAAACCAAUGGACAAAAGAAAACUUAGAUUGAGUCUAAGAUGGUGUCCUAAUGAUGAUAAACCACAUGAACAAAUGAUUAAGCUUAAAUAGAAGCUAUGAUGAUGUCUCAAUGAUGAGAAACGAAAUGAAAAAAGUAUAAAAUGGGAAAGAUGGUGUCCCAAUGAUGAGAAUUCAAAGGAACAAACGAUUAAACUUAAAUAGAACCUAGGAUGACUUUCCAAUGAUGAGAAACCAAAUGAAAAAGGAAUAAACUAAGAUAGCAAAAUGUUGUCAAAGUGACGAGAAACCAAAGGAACAAACGAUUUAAGUCUAGAAAUAACCGAGCUUGGUGUCCAAAUGAAGAGAAACGAAAUGAAUAAGGAAUAAACCGAGAAAGAAAGUAGGAUGGUCUCCCAAUGAUGAGAAUCCAAAGGAACGAAGAUGAAACUUAGGUUGAACCUAGGAUUGUGUUGCAAAGAUGAGAAACCAAAAGAAGAAACAAAUCAGCUUUGAUAGAACCUACGUUGGUGUCCCAUUAAAUCGGCGAUAAAAACUAGCCAAACCAUGAAAACUUCUUUCCUCAGUGAUUCACUUAGGUGUGGGCCAUUCCUUGAUAGCCUUCACAUUUUCGUCAUCCACCUCAAUUCCUUUCGCACUAACAACAUAACCAAGAAAAACAACUUUGUCCAUGCAAAAGGAACAUUUCUUUAAAUUGGCAUAUAAUUUUUCUUUUCUCAAAACAACAAGCACACAAUGCAAAUUUUUUAUAUGGCCAUCUAAGUUAUUACUGUACAACAAACUAUCAUCAAAAUAGACCACAACAAAUCUGCCUAUAAACGCACGCAAUACAUGGUUCAUUAACCUCAUGAAUGUACUUGGUGGCAUUAGUUGGACCAAAAGGCAUUACCAACCACUCAUAUAAUCCAUAUUUAGUUUUAAAGGCAGUUUUCCAUUCAUCACCCUCUUUCAUCCUAAUUUGAUGAUACCCACUUAAAUCAAUUUUUGUGAAAACACAUGAUCCAUGCAAUUCAUGCAACAUGUCAUCUAGCCUAGGGAUUGGAUGUCUAUACUUUACUGUAAUGUUGUUGAUCGCCCUGCAAUCAACACACAUCCUCCAAGUUCCAUCCUUCUUAGGCACAAGCAGCAUCGGCACCGCGCAUGGACUCAUGCUCUCUCUCACAUGUCCUUUGGUUAGCAACUCCUCAACUUGCCUUAGAAGUUCCUUUGUCUCCUCCAGAUUACUCAUAUAGGCUGGUCGGUUAGGAAUUGUUGCACCUGGCACAAAAUCAAUUUGAUGCUCUAUUCCUCUAAUAGGUGGCAAUCCACUAGACACAUUGUUAGGAAACACAUCCUCAUAUUCCGGCAACAAAGAAACAACAAUACUAGGAAAAGAUUUGUAAAGUUCAUUAGUGUUUUAACAUACCUCUUUGUACAAGAGUACAAAUAUAACAUUCUCACUUUUCAAUUUCAUUUGAUCUUCGUACGCUUGUCAUGGAGUCAACAGUACCAAAGUAAUGGUUUUAUUGUCUUUUACAAAAGAAUACCUAUUCUUGAACCCAUCAUGAUUGACCUUUUUGUCAAACUGCUAAGGCCUACCCAAUAAAAUGUAACCCGCAUGCAUUGGAACAAUAUCACAAAGUACUUCAUCCUUGUACCUCCCAAUUGAAAAAGAAACCAGCACUUGCUUAUUUACCUUAACCUCUCCACAAUCAUUCAACCAUUGCAACUUAUACGGUCUAGGGUGUUUCAAGGUAGGUAAAUUCAAUUUUUCAACUAAAGUAGUGCUAGCCACAUUAGUACAGUGCCACCCCCCCCCCCCCCCCCAUCAAUGAUCAUACUACAUCUCUUAUUGUUGAUGUGGCAUCUAGUAUGAAAAAUAUUCUCUCUUUGUUAUUCCAUGUCAUCCUCUUUAACUUGGGCACUUAAAGCACGCCUAGCCAUAGUGACUCACCCUCCACUGGAUACUCCACAUUAUCGUCACAAGCAUCCUCCAGUGAUGGCAUUUGGUCAUCAUCUUCCUCACUUUCAAUUUCCACCUCUCCAUCAACACGUGCGGUCAUGGUCCUCUUAUUUGGGCAUUGUGAAGCUAUAUGACCUACUCCCAAACAACGAAAACACAAUUAAUAUCACAAUUAUGAGUUUGGGGUUCAUUUUUACCUUUGUUGACAUUGGGAGCUUCAUCUCUGCUUUUGGUGGUUCAGUUUUGGACUUGAAAAUAACCCCUUCAUCUUUCCUCCCAUUUGGCCUCCAUGAAGCAGAGGAGCCGGGAUUUUGAAAUGACCGAGUUCCUUUCCUUUUAAGCUGUCAUUCCACCUUUAUUGCCAUGUGCACCAUGUCCUCCAACUCCACAUAGUGUUGUAACUCCACCACGUUGGCAAUGUCCCGAUUCAUUCCAUUCAGAAACCUUGGCAUAGUAGCUUCUUUAUCCUCCUCUACAUUAGCCGGAAUCAUGGCAAUCUCCAUCUCCUUGUGAUAGUCAUCCACGCUCCUAUAGCCUUGAGUAACACUCUGUAAUUUCUGAUACAAGUCCCUAUAGUAGUGACUAGGGACAAACCGCCUCCUCAUGGUGGCUUUCAUUUCAUCCCAUGUCUCAAUAGGCCUCUCAUAGUUUCUUCUUUUGUUCGUUACAAGUUGAUCCCACCAUAUAAUAGCAUCCUCAUGGAGAUUUUUAAUUCAUUCCCUUUCCUAGAAUUUUUUUAGACCAACCAACUUCCUUCAAUUCUUCUAGGGCAACCCUUUCCUAGGGUUUACUUAGCAAACUCCCACUUCCUGUAGUGUAGUAGGGCAUCCCAAUCCAGUAGUUUGUUUAGCGCAACUCCUUUUCUUGCGGUUUUUUAGCACAACCGCUUUUGUUUGGAUUGGGCAUCCCCCUUGGUAGAUUUUGUUUGCGGCAUGCCCUUUCUAUGAUUCUGAUUAGUGAAUCCCCCUUCUUAAUUAUCAUUUACGAUGCUCAUCUUCCUUUAUCUUUUUAAGGCCAUCUCGCUUACUCGAAUUUGCUUAGAGCAUCCCCCUUCCUUCACAUUGUUUAGAGAAUUCCCUUCAUUAAGUUUAUUAAGGGCAUUGUUUAGGGCAUCCCACUUCCUUAAGUUUCUUUAUGGUAUCCCUCGUUCUUCACCCCAUAAUCAAGAUGUCAUCCUAGGUUCUAUCUAAACAUAAUAAUUUGUUCCCAAGAUUGCUCAUCAUUGGAACACCAUUCACAAUUUUAUUCAUUUUCAUUCUUAGUUUUGUUUAGUUUCACAUCAUUGAGAUGUCAUCCUAGGUUUUUUCUAAGCUAAUUAGUUUGUUCUUUUGAUUGCUCAUCCAUUAUUGGACCAUAAUUCUUGGUUCUAUCUCUGUUCAUUCUUCGUUCCUUUAGUUACCCGUUAGGUUACUAUCCUAGUUUUAAUCUAAGUUUAUUUGUUUGUUCCUCUGAUUUCUCAUAACUAGGACGUUAUCCUAGAUUCUAUCUAUAUCAAAUUUGAGUUAUUUUUGUGUCGGAUCGUCUGCAUACCAUCCUAGGUUCUACUUAAGCUUAGUUGGUUGUUUGUUACGUUUCUCAUCAUUGUGAUGUCAUCCUAGUUUCUAUCUAGGUUUGUUCUUAGUUCCUUUGGGUUCCAAACAUUUGGAUGCAAUCCUAGGUUUGGCCUAUGUUCAUUAUUGGUUCCUUUGGUUUCCCAUCAUUGUGAACUAUGUAAGCUUUUCAUAUGUUCCUUUGGUUUCUCAUAAUUAGGACAUCAUCCUAUGAGUUUGUUUAAGGGUAUGCACAAUUCCUUGUACAUGUUCAGGACAUCCUUCUUCAUUGAGUUUUUUUCGGGCAUCCCCUUCCUAAAGUUUGUUGAGGGUAUUACCCUUCAUUGAGUUUAUUUAGGGCAUCCUCUUUCCUCGAGUGUUAUUAGGUUCAUUCCCAUUCCUCUAUUGUUUUAGGACAUUCUUGUUCAUUGGGCUAUCAAACUACCUUGAUUUACUUUUUUAGUCCAUCACCCUUCCUUAAGUUUCUUAGGUCAUCCAUCUUCAUGGAGAUUUUUAGUUCAUUCCCUUUCCUAGAGUUUGUUUAGACCAACCAACUUCCUUCAAUUGCUUUGGGGCAUACCCUUUCCUAGGGAUUAUUUAACAGACUCCCACUUCUUUUAGUGCAACUCCAUUUCUUGAGGUCUUUUAGCACAACCGCUUUUGUUGGGAUUGGGCAUCCUCGUUGGUAGAGUUUGUUUGUGGAAUGCCCUUUCUAUGAGUUUUAUUAGUGAAUCCCCCUUCUCAAUGUUCAUUACGACUUUCUUCUUCCAUUGGCUUUUUAAGGGAAUCCCCCUUACUCGAAUUUGCUUAGAGCAUCCCCCUUCCUUGACUUUGUUUAGAGAUUUUCCUUCAUUAAGCUUAUUAAGGGCAUCCCACUUCCUUAAGUUUGUUUAGGGUAUCCCUUGUCCUUCACCCCAUAAUCAGGAUGUCAUCCUAGGUUCUAUCUAAACAUAAUCAUUUAUUCCCGAGAUUGCUCAUCAUUGGAACACCAUUCAUAGUUUUAUUCAUUUUCAUUCUUAGUUUAUUUAGUUUCACAUCAUUGAGAUGCCAUCCUAGGUUUUUUCUAAGCUAAUUAGUUUGUUCUUUUGAUUGCUCAUCCAUGAUUGGACCAUAAUUCUUGGUUCUAUCUCUAUUCAUUCUUCGUUCCUUUGGUUACCCGUUGGGUUACUAUCCUAGUUUUAAUCUAAGUUUAUUUGUUUGUUUCUUUGAUUUCUCAUAACUAGGACUUCCUAGGUUCUAUCUAUAUCAAAUUUGAGUUAUUUUUGUGUCGGAUCGUCUGCAUACCAUCCUAGGUUCUACCUAAGCUUAGUUGGUUGUUUGUUAUGUUUCUCAUCCUUGUGAUGUCAUCCUAGUUUCUAUCUAGGUUUGUUCUUAGUUCCUUUGGGUUCCCAGCAUUUGGAUGCAAUCCUAGGUUCGACCUAUGUUCCUUGUUUGUUCCUUUGGUUUCGCAUCAUUGUGAACUAUCUAAGCUUAUUCAUAUAUUCCUUUGGUUUCUCAUAAUGAGGACAUCAUCCUAUGAGUUUGUUUAAGGGUAUGCACAAUUCCUUGUGUAUGUUCAGGACAUCCUCCUUCCUUGAGUUUUUUUGGGAUCCCCUUCCUGAAGUUUGUUGAGGGUCUUACCCUUCAUUGAGUUUAUUUAGGGUAUCCUCUUUCCUCGAGUGUUAUUAGGUUAAUUCCCAUUCCUCUAUUGUUUUAGGACAUUCUUGUUCAUUGGGCUCUCAAACUACCUUGAUUUACUUUUUUAGUUCAUCACCCUUCCUUAAGUUUCUUAGGUCAUCCAUCUUCAUGGAGAUUUUUAAUUCAUUCCCUUUCCUAGAGUUUGUUUAGACCAACCAACUUUAUUCAAUUGCUUUGGGGCAUACCCUUUCCUAGGGAUUAUUUAAUCGACUCCCACUUGUUUUAGUAUAGUAGGGCAUCCCCAUCCAGUAGUUUGUUUAGUGCAACUCCAUUUCUUGAAGUCUUUUUGCACAACCGCUUUUGUUGGGAUUGGGCAUCCUCGUUGGUAGAGUUUGUUUGUGGCAUGCCCUUUCUAUGAGUCUUAUUAGUGAAUCCCCCUUCUCAAUGUUCAUUACGACUUUCUUCUUCCAUUGGCUUUUUAAGGGAAUCCCACUUACUUGAAUUUGCUUAGAGCAUCCCCCUUCCUUGACUUUGUUUAGAUAUUUUCCUUCAUUAAGCUUAUUAAGGGCAUCUUUUAGGGCAUCCCCCUUCCUUGACUUUGUUUAGAUAUUUUCCUUCAUUAAGCUUAUUAAGGGCAUCUUUUUGGGCAUCCCACUUCCUUAAGUUUGUUUAGGGUAUCCCUUGUCCUUCACCCCAUAAUUAGGAUGUCGUCCUAGGUUCUAUUUAAACAUAAUCAUUUAUUCCCGAGAUUGCUCAUCAUUGGAACACCAUUCAUAGUUUUAUUCAUUUUCAUUCUUAGUUUGUUUAGUUUCACAUCAUUGAGAUGCCAUCCUAGGUGCUAUCUAAGCUAAUUCGUUUUUUCUUUUGAUUGCUCAUCCAUGAUUGGACCAUAAUUCUUGGUUCUAUCUCUAUUCAUUCUCCGUUCCUUUAGUUACCCGUUGGGUUACUAUCCUAGUUUUAAUCUAAGUUUAUUUGUUUGUUCCUCUGAUUUCUCAUAACUAGGACAUUAUCCUAGGUUCUAUCUAUAUCAAAUUUGAGUUAUUUUUGUGUCGGAUCGUCUACAUACCAUCCUAGGUUCUACCUAAGCUUAGUUGGUUGUUUGUUAUGUUUCUCAUCCUUGUGAUGUCAUCCUAGUUUCUAUCUAGGUUUGUUCUUAGUUCCUUUGGGUUCCCAGCAUUUGGAUGCAAUCCUAGGUUCGACCUAUGUUCCUUGUUUGUUCCUUUGGUUUCGCAUCAUUGUGAACUAUCUAAGCUUAUUCAUAUAUUCCUUUGGUUUCUCAUAAUGAGGACAUCAUCCUAUGAGUUUGUUUAAGGGUAUGCACAAUUCCUUGUGUAUGUUCAGGACAUCCUCCUUCCUUGAGUUUUUUUGGGAUCCCCUUCCUGAUGUUUGUUGAGGGUGUUAACCCUUCAUUGAGUUUAUUUAGGGCAUCCUCUUUCCUCGAGUGUUAUUAGGGUAAUUCCCAUUCCUCUAUUGUUUUAGGGCAUUCUUGUUCAUUGGGCUAUCAAACUACCUUGAUUUACUUUUUUAGUCCAUCACCCUUCCUUAAGUUUCUUAGGUCAUCCAUCUUCAUGGAGAUUUUUAGUUCAUUCCCUUUCCUAGAGUUUGUUUAGACUAACCAACUUCCUUCAAUUGCUUUAGGGCAUACCUUUCCUAGGGAUUAUUUAGUAGACUCCCACUUCCUUUAGUGAAGUAGAGCAUCCCCAUCCAAUAGUUUGUUUAGUGCAACUCCAUUUCUUGAGGUUUUUUAGCACAACCGCUUUUGUUGGGAUUGGGCAUCCCCCUUGGUAUAGUUUGUUUGUGGCAUGCCCUUUCUAUGAGUCUUAUUAGUUAACCCCCCUUCUCAAUGUUCACUACGACAUUCUUCUUCCAUUGGCUUUUUAAGGGAAUCCCGCUUACUCGAAUUUGCUUAGAGCAUCCCCCCUUCCUUGACUUUGUUUAGAGAAUUUCCUUCAUUAAGCUUAUUUAGGGCAUCCCACUUCCUUAAGUUUGUUUAGGGUAUCCCUCGUCCUUCACCCCAUAAUCAGGAUGUCAUCCUAGGUUCUAUCUAAACAUAAUCAUUUUUUUCCAAGAUUGUUCAUCAUUGGAAAGCCAUUCAUGGUUUACUAUCCUAGUUUUAAUCUAAGUUUAUUCCUUUGUUCCUCUUAUUUCUCAUCACUAGGAUGUCAUCAUAGGUUCUAUCUAUAUGCAAUUUGAGUUAAUUUUGUGUCCGAUCAUUUGCAUACCAUCCUAGGUUUUACCUAAGCUUAGUUGGUUGUUUGUUAUGUUUCUCAUCAUUGUGAUGUCAUCUUAGUUUCUAUCUAGGUUUGUUCUUAGUUCCUUUGGUUUCCAAACAUUUGGAUGCAAUCCUACGUUCGGCCUAUGUUCAUUGUUUGUUCCUUUGGUUCACAUCAUUGUGAACUACCUAUGAGUUUGUUUUCUCAUAAUUAGGACACCAUACUAUGAGUUUGUUUAAGGAUAUGCCCUAUUUCUUGAGUAUGUUUAGGACAUCCUCCUUCCUUGAGUUGUUUUCGGGCAUCCCCUUCCUUAAGUUUGUUUAGGGUAUUCCUCUUCGUUGAGUUUCUUUAGGGUAUUCUCUUUCCUUGAGUGUUAUUAGGGUAUUCACAUUCGUCUAUUUUUUUAGGACAUUCCUGUUCAUUGGACUAUUAAACUACUUUAGUCCAUCACCCUUCCUUCAGUUUCUUAGGUCAUCCACCUUCAUGUUAAUUUUUAAUUCAUUCUCUUGCUUAUAGUUUAUUUAGACCUACCAACUUCCUUCAAUUCUUUUAGGGUAUACCCUUUCCUAGGGAUUACUUAGCAGACUCCCACUUCAUUUAGUGUAGUAGGGCAUCCCCAUCCAGUAAUUUGUUUAAUGCAACUCCAUUUAUUGAGGUUUUUUAGCACAACCGUUUUUGUUGGGAUUGGGCAUCCUAGUUUGGUGGAGUUUGUUUUUGGCAUGCCCUUUCUAUGAGUCUUGUUAGUGAAUCCCCCUUCUUAAUGUUCAUUUACGAUGUUCUUCUUCCAUUGGCUUUUUAAGGGCAUCCUGCUUACUCAAAUUUGCUUAGAGCAUCCCCCUUCAUUGACUUUGUGUAGAGAAUUCCCUUCAUUAAGUUUAUUAAGGGCAUUGUUUAGGGCAUCCCACUUCCUUAAGUUUGUUUAGGGUAUCCCUCGUCCUUCACCCCAUAAUCAGGAUGUCAUCCUAGGUUCUAUCUAAACAUAAUUAUUUGUUCCCGAGAUUGCACAUCAUUGGAACGCCAUUCAUAGUUCUAUUCAUUCUCGUUCUUAGUUUGUUUAGUUUCACAUCAUUGAGUUGCCAUCCUAGGUUCUAUCUAAGCUAAUUCGUUUGUUCUUUUUAUUGCUCAUCAUUGGACCAUAAUUCUUGGUUUUAUCUCUGUUCAUUCUUAGUUCCUUUAGUUACCCAUCAUUGGGUUACUAUUCUAAUUUUAAUCUAAGUUUAUUCAUUUGUUCCUCUGAUUUCUCAUCACUAGGACAUCAUCCUAGGUUCUAUCUAUAUCAAAUUUGAGUUAAUUUUGAGUCUGAUCGUCUGCAUACCAUCCUAGGUUCUACCUAAGCUUAGCUGGUUGUUUGUUAUGUUUCUCAUCAUUGUGAUGUCAUCCUAGUUUCUAUCUAGGUUUGUUCUUAGUUCCUUUGGGUUCCAAAUAUUUGGAUGCAAUCCUAGGUUCGGUCUAUGUUCAUUGUUUGUUCCUUUGGUUUCUCAUAAUUGGGACGCCAUCCUAUGAGUUUGUUUAAGGGUAUGCCCUAUUCCUUGAGUAUGUUUAGGACAUUUUCCUUCCUUGAGUUGUUUUCAGACAUCCCUUUCCUUAAGUUUGUUUAGGGUAUUCCCCUUCAUUGAGUUUAUUUUGGGCAUCCUCUUUCCUCAAGUGUUAUUAGGGUAUUCCCAUUCCUCUAUUUUUCUAGGACAUUCCUGUUCAUUGGGCUAUCAAACUACCUUGAUUUACUUUAAUCCAUCACCCUUCCUUCAGUUUCUUAGGUCAUCCAUGUGACACCCUGAUUUUUUUUUUUUUUUUUUUGCAAACUUUACAAUUGAUACUCAAAUACAAUAUAAGUGUUAAAGAUAUAGGGAUACGAAAAUUUAAAUGUUGAGUUCCUGCUUGAUUUUGUGCAAAAAGAGGAUAUGCAAAACCUGUUAUAAAGAGUACAUCUUAUAUUAAACUUUGUAACUAUUAGUUAACAAAAUAUGUUUCAUUUCACAAAAGAAACUUGUAUUACAUUAAUUUACAUAUACCAAAACCCCAUGGUUCACUACAGGUAGCCCAUACUACAAGUGUACCUUACAAAUAUAUAUAUUACAUCAUUGCUACAAAAAAAUUCAGUCUUUAAUACAAAGGCAAAGCCUCAAAACACUUUCAAUGUGAGCAAACAACAUCCAAUUGCAAUAAAGCAAUGCUCAAACAUUAUUUCCUGCAUACAUCUUUUGACUUACAUCUAAAGAUGGAAGGGAUAGGGUGAGUUCACAACUUAGUAGGAAAGUUUAUAACCAUCCUAAGCAUACACUUAAAAACCUUGAAUUAAACAUGUAAUAGCAUGCAUGAUAAACAUUUUAUAACCAUUAAUAAAUAUGCAAUCAUGUCAAACAUGUAUGCAUGUUUGCUGGUUUCAUCUUCGCUUUUCCUCGUCCAUCCUUUCACAACUGAUAAAUUGCUCACCCCCACCAAUCUAUAUAUCAAAUAUCAAUGCUCCACAAGAUACUCGAUCAAUAUAAUAAUGACUAUUCUAGGACAUCACCCAAGGGCAAGUCAUACCCCGUGUCUUUUGGGACUCAUACCCAAGGGCAGGACCAACCCCAUAUACCCACAUUGGAGUGUCUUCCUCGAGGGCUUUAGGGACUUCCACCCAAGGACCCACUGUCCCACAUAAACAAUAUAUCAAAGGAUAAUGCCUAUAGCAUCACAUAAACACUUUCUACUAAAUAAUUCUCUGAAUAUCAUUUGUGAUUAUUCCAUAUCCUUUCUGCAAUGCAUUCAUACCAUGAACCAUUUUCACAAUACAGAACCAUGAAUCUUCAUACCAAUAUACGUUCCAAUCUCAAUGUAACAUUUCAACACAAUAAACCAAGAUGCAAUGACACAUUAAAAUAUUUUAUGAAAUUUUAGAAAUGACAUGAAAUUUCCAAUAAAUGUUUCAAGGAAGGAAAUCAGAUACACCAUGGGAUAGCAUAAAAUUCCCUACCUUACACGGGCUUUCCCUUUAUGAUUCUUCUAUGUAGGCGAUCUUCACCUAUUACAAGGAACUGAAAUGAAACACAUAAUUUAGACUUCCUAACGAUGAAAAUUUAUACAAUUUACUUUUGCUAAUUUUUUAAUUAUAAUAUUCUCUAAUGUAGAUGCCUACAAGUUCUCAUAUCAAAUUUGAAUUAAAUUAAACAAUAUUUACAAUGCAUAUUAAUAUUCCCUAAUUAAUUACCAAACACUAAUUGUUUUUAUUUUCUUAAAACCUAACCUAUUAACAAAUUCCAAGUGCCUAAAUAACCUAAUUAAUCACACGUUUACUAUUCUAUUUUUCAAUUAAACCAAAUUAAACAAAUAUUUAUGCUAAUCUUACCAUUAAUAAAAUACUUAAGCUAAAAUACUUUAAUCCAUGAUUAAUUGUGAUUUUUAACUAAAACAUGUUUAUAGUAACAAGGAUAAAAACAAUGAUAGUGACGGUAAUUGUGACGGUAACGGUUACGUUGACGAUAACGGUAAUUAUGACGGUGACAGUAACUCUAACGGUAACGGUGAUAGUGACAGUGACGGUGGCGAGAACG